GACGAACGCUGGCGGCGUGCCUAAUACAUGCAAGUUGAGCGCUGAAGGUUGGUACUUGUACCAACUGGAUGAGCAGCGAACGGGUGAGUAACGCGUGGGUAAUCUGCCUUUGAGCGGGGGACAACAUUUGGAAACGAAUGCUAAUACCGCAUAAAAACUUUAAACACAAGUUUUAAGUUUGAAAGAUGCAAUUGCAUCACUCAAAGAUGAUCCCGCGUUGUAUUAGCUAGUUGGUGAGGUAAAGGCUCACCAAGGCGAUGAUACAUAGCCGACCUGAGAGGGUGAUCGGCCACAUUGGGACUGAGACACGGCCCAAAAUCCUACGGGAGGCAGCAGUAGGGAAUCUUCGGAAAUGGACGAAAGUCUGACCGAGCAACGCCGCGUGAGUGAAGAAGGUUUUCGGAUCGUAAAACUCUGUUGGUAGAGAAGAACGUUGGUGAGAGUGGAAAGCUCAUCAAGUGACGGUAACUACCCAGAAAGGGACGGCUAACUACGUG
rnacentral:rRNA from 1 species